AAGUGUGCUAUGGCAUCAUGUGUAAUUCACUAGCUUCCUCUUCUGCCUGAACAACUGGGAAGCUUGGUGCUAGGUGUGGUGGCCAAGUUGGCCACCACAUUCUUCAGGUUACAUUCUCCCUCACUUCUUAGCAUGCUGUCAAAAGAUUUCUUAGAAUGUAGACAAGUGAACCUUUCCAUUGUGAGUGACUUUAGAACUUUGGAACUCUGCUGUUUUUCUGACAAGAGUUACUUAGUGUACAUCCUUGUUUACAAGAAAUCCUUGAUUCAGCUAUGCUAAUCAUUCCUUCCGCUGAGAUGUACUGGCAAUGGCCCUUGAUUCAACCUCGCCAGGUGUAACUGCCAGAUAGUCUACACAUUCUCCUCUAGAUGGACUCCACUCUGCUGUUCUACUUCUCCAAUUUCAGUGUGUUAUUUCUAGGUUUCAGAAGUGAAAGUCCCAAGACUCUGCAACCCCUCAGCUCCAAGAGGGAUGGCCUUUGGCUAAACCUUUGGUUAAGGUUCCCUGGUCAUAUUCUGAGAAAUAUUACUGGAUUCAUAUUGGGUUUAAGAAGAUGGCUGUCACCUUGCCUGUGGGGUUCUAACCACUUAAGUUUUAGUGGAUACCAGAAAAGGAUAUUAAAUUCCCUGGAACUAGAGCCAGACAGAGAUGAUUCUGAGCUGCCAGGUGAGUGCUGGGAAUCAAACCCAGUUCCUCUACAAAAAGCAGAUAGUGCUUCUAAGCUCUGAGCCAAAUAUUCUGCCCUACACUGAGAAUUCUUUGGGGUGGGGACAUGGGUACAAUAUGUAAUGAACAAAUUGGAGCAAUUUGCUUCUGCAUCAUCCCAAAUACUUAUCAUAUAUUUAUGUAGAAGACAUCAAUAUACUUUAUUCUGCUCAUUUUGAAACACUAAAUAAGUCACUGGAACUUUCCAAUUAGAAUGUAUGCCUCAAGGGUUUGAGAAAUAUUCCAUUAACCAAUGAGUUAUAUGUUUCUCCUUAGAGUGGCCCAGAUGGGCCUCUCUUCCCACAAGCACAGGUACCACUGUGUGCCCCUGCCUCCAUGGUUGAUGUCCACCCAGCCUGAGACGCUGAAC
rnacentral:sRNA from 1 species